UACAGAGGGGGCAAGCGUUGUUCGGAAUUACUGGGCGUAAAGGGCGCGUAGGCGGCCUUCUAAGUCGAACGUGAAAUCCCCGGGCUCAACCCGGGAACUGCGUCCGAUACUGGAUGGCUUGAAUUCGGGAGAGGGAUGCAGAAUUCCAGGUGUAGCGGUGAAAUGCGUAGAUAUCUGGAGGAAUACCGGUGGCGAAGGCGGCAUCCUGGACCGACAUUGACGCUGAGGAGCGAAAGCUAGGGGAGCGAACGGG
rnacentral:rRNA from 1 species